ensembl:rRNA 5S_rRNA 5S ribosomal RNA
GGCUAUGGCCAUACUACCCUGAACGUGUCCGAUCUCGUCUGAUCUUGGAAGCUAAGCAGGGUUGGACCCCUGGUUAGUACUUGGAUGGGAGACUGCCUAGGAAUACUAGGUGCUGUAGGUG